rnacentral:rRNA from 1 species
CCUACGGGAGGCUGCAGUCGAGAAUCAUUCACAAUGGGGGCAACCCUGAUGGUGCGACGCCGCGUGGGGGAAUGAAGGCCUUCGGUUUGUAAACCCCGGUCAUGUGGGAGCAAAGUAAAAAGAUAGUACCACAAGAGGAAGAGACGGCUAACUCUGUGCCAGCAGCCGCGGUAAUACAGAGGAUGCGAGCGUUAUCCGGAUUUAUGGGGUUUAAAGGGUGCGUAGGCGGAUUAUUAAGUCAGCGGUAAAAUGUCCGGGCUCAACCGGGGCCGGCCGUUGAAACUGGGGAUCUAGAGUGGGCGAGAAGUAGGUGGAAGGCGAGGUGUAGCGGUGAAAUGCGUAGAUAUCACGCAGAACUCCGGUGGCGAAGGCAGCAUACCGGCGCGCGACUGACGCUGAGGCACGAAAGCGUGGGGAGCGAACAGGAUUAGAUACCCGAGUAGUC